CUGUAUUUAAUGUUUUGAAUUCAUAUAUACAAUAUGUUCUAAUGUACUUAUAUAUAUAUAUAUCAGAUGAUAUAAUUCAGCAUGACAAAAAGAUAGCCUUUUUGUCAUGAAUUAUUUCAACUCUGGUCAUUUUGUUCAUUGCUUACUGUUUGUGGCUUUGUAUGAUGUUGCUUGUUUUUGGGUCUUGAUUUGUCUGUCCUUGUCUUCUAUUGCAUGCUGCGUGACGAGCAGUGUUGGUCUACACGUCCAAUCACAGUGUUCUGUUAUGUCCAAGUAUACGCCAUUGGUAAGCCUAUAUAUGUCAUUUUUCCUAUUUAAUUACAACAGAUAAGGUGAUUAUGACAUUACAUGUUGUUGUGAUGAAUAAAUAUA
rnacentral:lncRNA from 1 species